UACAGAGGGUGCGAGCGUUAAUCGGAAUUACUGGGCGUAAAGGGCGCGUAGGCGGAUGAAUAAGUUGGAUGUGAAAUCCCUGGGCUUAACCUAGGAACUGCAUACAAUACUGUUUAACUAGAGUGCUGUAGAGGGUAGUGGAAUUUCCGGUGUAGCGGUGAAAUGCGUAGAUAUCGGAAGGAACACCAGUGGCGAAGGCGGCUACCUGGACAGACACUGACGCUGAGGCGCGAGAGCGUGGGGAGCAAACAGGAUUAGAUACCCUGGUAGUCCACGCUGUAAACGAUGAGAACUAGAUGUUGGUAGGCAUGACCUAUUAGUAUCGAAGCUAACGCGAUAAGUUCUCCGCCUGGGGAGUACGGCCGCAAGGUUAAA
rnacentral:rRNA from 1 species